UACGUAGGGCGCAAGCGUUGUCCGGAAUUAUUGGGCGUAAAGAGCUCGUGGGUGGCUUGUUGCGUCUGCCGUGAAAGCCCGUGGCUUAACUGCGGGUCUGCGGUGGAUACGGGCAGGCUAGAGGCUGGUAGGGGCAAGCGGAAUUCCUGGUGUAGCGGUGAAAUGCGCAGAUAUCAGGAGGAACACCGGUGGCGAAGGCGGCUUGCUGGGCCAGUUCUGACGCUGAGGAGCGAAAGCGUGGGGAGCAAACAGG
rnacentral:rRNA from 1 species